rnacentral:lncRNA from 1 species
CAUUGAGGUCAUUGAGGUAUUUCUAUUGUCUCUUUCCAUUGCUCCCAAAUUAUAACAUGCGAGCAAGAUCUGUCCAACCACUCCCCAUUGGCUGAAUCUGAAGGUUAUGGUAUAUUGAAAUCCAUGGAGCAAUGUUACUUAGAGACACUUGGCAUUGGUGACAAGAAGUCCAAGUGUCCCCAAGUGUCGGACAUGGCAUCCACCAAAAAUCUAGGCAGGGGGACAAGACAUAAAUAUGUGAUAAUACACACACACACACACACAUAUAUAUGUUAAUAUCUUAUAAACACAUAUACAUACACAUAGAUCUGUGUCUAUGUGUCUGAUUUCAAAAAAAGAAUAAAUUAAAAGGGAAAGGAGAGUUAUAAAUGCUAUCAAACAAACAGAUUGAUAAAAUAAUUAUAAGUUUGCAAGUUGUUUAAUUUAUUCGCUAGGCUCAUGAUUAAGAUGUGUUGAGGUACUUAAAUGGUAAUUAACUGUGUACAUCUAUAUUUUUAACAAUAACAUUUCAUUUAAAGUGUUUAUACAAUCUUGACAACUUUAUGUUAGAAACAUAAAGACACUUCGCUUGAAGUGUCUACAAAACCCGGGUAACUCCACAUUGAAAAUAGGACACCCCACUUAAAGUGUCCAGCGCUUAAAACAAGAAGUCCCCUAGUUGACAUCACCAGAACAAUUAAAAGUGGAC